rnacentral:rRNA from 1 species
UGAGCAACCUGCCCAUAGCUCUGGGAUAACCCCGGGAAACCGGGGCUAAUACCGGAUACGAGUCCGAGCGGCAUCACGCGGACUGGAAAGUUUUUCGGCUAAGGAUGGGCUCGCGGCCUAUCAGCUUGUUGGUGGGGUAAUGGCCUACCAAGGCGACGACGGGUAGCCGGCCUGAGAGGGCGACCGGCCACACUGGGACUGAGACACGGCCCAGACUCCUACGGGAGGCA